AUUGAACGCUGGCGGCAGGCCUAACACAUGCAAGUCGAGCGGAUGAAGGGAGCUUGCUCCUGGCUUCAGCGGCGGACGGGUGAGUAAUGCCUAGGAAUCUGCCUGGUCGUGGGGGAUAACGUCCGGUAACGGGCGCUAAUACCGCAUCCGUCCUGAGGGUGAAAGUGGGGGAUCUUCGGACCUCACGCUAUCAGCUGAGCCUAGGUCGGAUUAGCUAGUUGGUGGGGUAAAGGCCUACCAAGGCGACGAUCCGUAACUGAUCUGAGAGGGUGAUCAGUCACACUGGAACUGAGACACGGUCCAGACUCCUACGGGAGGCAGCAGUGGGGAAUAUUGGACAAUGGGCGAAAGCCUGAUCCAGCCAUGCCGCGUGUGUGAUGAAGGUCUUCGGAUUGUAAAGCACUUUAAGUUGGGAGGAAGGGCAGUAAGUUAAUACCUUGCUGUUUUGACGUUACCAACAGAAUAAGCACCGGCUAACUUCGUG
rnacentral:rRNA from 1 species